rnacentral:tmRNA from 1 species
GGGGCUGUAAUGGUUUCGACAGGUUUAUGUUUGAUUUUGGCUGCAGUGGAGCGGUGACCUAAUCACCAACCUAAAAAUAAACGCUAACAACAAUAGUUACGCAUUCGCUGCCUGAGUACACUUUAAGUGUUGCAGCGCCCUCUCUUUGCAUUAGUCGUUUGGUAUUGAGAGCGUAAAUAAACGGAUACGGAAAGAUGAUGUCUGUAAGUCUUUCCCGACAAUCUCACAGACAAAUUCCGAUAGUGGCUGGUCUGUUGGCAUUCUGUCGGUCUUACUAACAACAGGCUAAACUGUAGAUGCUGAAAUGUGGGACGAUUCUUGGACGCGGGUUCGACUCCCGUCAGCUCCAC